rnacentral:lncRNA from 1 species
UCAUACAUAGUAUUAUCAUACACAGUAUUAGAGUUCGAAACCAAAGUUUCGAUGUUCGGAUGUUCGGAUGUUCAGGAAGUGACGUCAUCAAAAAUUUUUUUUCUCUUGACGUCAUCGAUCUAAAAUCAACUAGCCAAAUUCCUUAGUCUGGAAACAACCGCGCAGUAGAGCGGACGUAUCAGAAUCGCGCUCCGCGAAUUUCGAGUACCGCGUUCUCUACUUCCUGGACCCUGCGCUCCAAGUCCACUACCUGUUGAAACUAGACUUACAGGACAAGCGCUCCGUAGUUUUUACGCUGCUGGUCCGCUACCUGGUGAAACGCGACUUCCAGGACAAGCGCUACGUGGUUCCUGCACUGAGGUCCGCUUCCUGGUGGAACUCGACUUGCAGGACGAGUGCUCCGUAGUUCUGGCUGUCCAGGUCCUUGACGUGAUGAAUGUUGACCUUCCGGACUAAUUCUCAAGUUUACAAGUUUGAUUAUUGAAAACGUUAUGUUUUGUACAAUCAAACCAAUAUGCAUGCUUCAGAUAACAUUUUGAAUCGGAAAAAAACCGAACGACCAGGAUCAAGAAAUUGCAGUUGAAUUCGAGGCGAUUACCGGUGGUCGUUGGAGGUGGUUGGUCGUGGUUGGAGGUGGUUAGGAGUGGUUGCGGGUGAAUGAGGUGGACAAGGAGGAGGACUAGGAGGAGGAAGACGAGGAUUCGUGCACAUAUUAGAGGUAUGACCCGAGGGGGUCAGCAGUGGUCAUUGGAGGUGGUCGGAGAUGGUUGCGGGUGAUCCAGGUGGACGACAAGGAGGACGACAACUUGUGCACUUUCUGUGCCCCACCUAGUGAUCCACUAGUACAUAUCCUCCGACGUGACAUCGCUCCGCG